rnacentral:rRNA from 1 species
UACGUAGGGGGCUAGCGUUGUCCGGAAUCAUUGGGCGUAAAGAGCGUGUAGGCGGCCCGGUAAGUCCGCUGUGAAAGUCGGGGGCUCAACCCUCGAAUGCCGGUGGAUACUGUCGGGCUAGAGUGCGGAAGAGGCGAGUGGAAUUCCGGGUGUAGCGGUGGAAUGCGUAGAGAUCCGGAAGAACACCGGUGGCGAAGGCGGCCUGCUGGGCAGUAGCUGACACUGAGGCGCGACAGCGUGGGGAGCAAACAGG